ACUGUUUUGCAGCCAAAAUUGUGAGGCAUUAUGUGCGAUGACGAUGAAACCACCGCCCUUGUAUGUGACAAUGGUUCUGGGCUUUGCAAAGCCGGGUUUGCAGGAGAUGAUGCCUCAAGAGCUGUAUUUCCAUCCAUCGUUGGACGUCCUCGGCAUCAGGGUGUUAUGGUUGGAAUGGGUCAAAAAGACAGCUAUGUAGGGGAUGAAGCACAAAGUAAAAGAGGGAUCCUGACACUGAAAUAUCCCAUUGAGCAUGGAAUCAUCACUAACUGGGAUGACAUGGAAAAGAUUUGGCAUCAUUCUUUAUAUAACGAACUCCGGGUUGCGCCGGAGGAACACCCCGUCCUGCUGACCGAGGCUCCCCUGAAUCCCAAGGCCAACCGUGAAAAAAUGACUCAGAUCAUGUUUGAGACAUUCAACGUGGCAGGCACGUAUGUAGCGAUUCAGGCAGUGCUGUCUCUGUAUGCAUCUGGAAGAACGACUGGAAUAGUUUUGGGUUCCAGAGAUGGUGUCACACACAAUGUGCCUAUCUAUGAGGGCUAUGCCUUGCCUCAUGCCAUCAUGAGACUCGAUCUGGCAGGCAGAGACCUGACUGACUAUCUCAUGAAAAUUCUUACGGAGAGAGGCUACUCUUUUGUCACCACUGCGGAACGGGAGAUCGUGAGAGACAUCAAGGAAAAGCUUUGUUACGUUGCGUUGGAUUUUGAAAAUGAAAUGGCAACUGCUGCUUCUUCCUCCUCUCUUGAAAAGAGCUAUGAGCUUCCUGAUGGACAAGUCAUCACCAUUGGGAAUGAACGGUUCCGAUGCCCAGAAACUCUCUUCCAGCCAUCCUUCAUAGGGAUGGAAUCUGCAGGUAUCCAUGAAACCACUUACAACAGUAUUAUGAAAUGAGAUAUCGACACCCGUAAGGAUCUUUAUGCUAAUAAUGUCCUCUCUGGAGGAACCACGAUGUAUCCUGGGAUUGGCAGUCGUAUGCAGAAGAGAUCACAGCUUUGGCUCCAAGUACUAUGAAGAUUAAGAUCAUUGCACCGCCAGAACGCAAAUACUCUCUCUGGAUCGGGGGUUCGAUAUUGGCAUCUCUGUCCACUUUGCAGCAGAUGUGGAUCAGUAAAGGUGAGUAUGAGGAAGCUGGGCCUUCAAUUGUCCGUCGCAAGUGCUUUUGA